rnacentral:rRNA from 1 species
UACGUAGGGUGCGAGCGUUAAUCGGAAUUACUGGGCGUAAAGCGUGCGCAGGCGGUUUUGUAAGACAGGCGUGAAGUCCCCGGGCUCAACCUGGGAAUGGCGCUUGUGACUGCAAAGCUGGAGUGCGGCAGAGAGGGAUGGAAUUCCGCGUGUAGCAGUGAAAUGCGUAGAUAUGCGGAGGAACACCGAUGGCGAAGGCAAUCCCCUGGGCCUGCACUGACGCUCAUGCACGAAGCGUGG